rnacentral:lncRNA from 10 species
UACUCUUGCUUCUCUAAUUCUUUUAAUUGUGAUGUUAGGGUGUCAGUUUUAGAUCUUUCCUGUUUUCUCCUGUGGGCAUUUAGUGCUAUAAAUUUCCCUCUAAACACUGCUUUAGUUGUGUCCCAGAGAUUCUGGUAGGUUGUGUCUUUGUUCUUAUUGGUAUCAAAGAACUUAUUUAUUUCUGCCUUAAUUUCCUUAUUUACCCAGGUUGUUCAGUUUCCAUGUAGUUGUGUGGUUUUGAGUGAGUUUUAUAUAAUGUAAUUCUUAAAGCAGCCAGGUAAAAGUGAUACAAAGAGAUAUACUCAAAAACACUACAGAUAAAUACAAAUUGAAUAAAAAUAAAUAUAAAUAAUGCAAAAAUAUUAUAUAUAAAUAUAUCUUAGAAGUUUAAUGUGAAAGAAGGCAGGAAAAAGAAAACAGAAAUGAAAAAGAGAAAACAUACACAGAACAAAAAAUAAAAUGGUAGGCUUAAGCAUUGACAUGUCAAUUAAACGUAAAUGGUCUAAAUAGGCUAUUAAAAGAGAUUUUCAGAAUGGAUUAAAAAACAUAAUCCUGCUAUAUGCUGUCUGUAAGAAAUUCACUUCAAAUAUAACAUUAUAGGCAGGUUGAAUGUAAAAGUAUGCAAACAUUAAUCAAAAGAAUUCAAAGUACCUAUAUUAACAGCAGAUCAUAUAGAUGAUAUGGUUUGGCUGUGUCCCCACACAAAUCUCAUCUUGAAUUGCAGCUCUCAUAAUUCCCAUGUGUCAUGGGAGGACCCAGUGAGAGAUAAUUGAAUCAUGAAAGUGAUCUCCCCCAUACUGUUCUUAUGGUAUGAGUAAGUCUCAUGAGAGCUGAUGGUUUUAUAAGGGGAAACCCCUUUUUCCUUGGCUCUCAUUGUCUUGUCUGCUGCUAUGUAAGACAUCCUUUGCUCUUCUGCCAUGAUUGUGCCUUGCUCCUCAGCCACGUGGAACUAUGAGUCAAUUAAACCCCUUUUCUUUAUAAAUUCCACAGUCUUGGGAAUGUCUUUAUUGGCAGUGUGGGGACAGCCUAAUACAGUAGACUUCAUAGCAAAAAAAAAAAAAAAAAAAAAGAGACACAGAGAGGAACAUCAUAUAAUGGUAAAAGGGUUAGUCUACCAAGGAGAUAUAACAAUACUAAAUGUGUAUGCAGCAUAAAUAGAGCUACAAAAUACGUGAAGCAGGUACUGAAAGAAAUGAAAGGAGGGACAGACACAUUCAGUUAUAGUUGGAGACUUCAAUACCUGCUCUCUCAACAACUGUUAGAACAACUAGAUAGAAAAUCAGCAAAGGUAAAGAAGAAUUCAAGAACACCAUCAACAAACAGGAUCCAAUCAAUAGUUGCAGAAUACUCCACCCAACAACAGCAGAAUACACAUUUUUAAAAGUGUGCACAGAACAUGUAACAAAAUAGACCAUAUACUGGGCCAUAAAACAAACCUCACUAACUUUGAAAGAAUUUAUAUCACGUGGUGUGCAUUCUCCAUCCACAAAGGAACAAAACUAGAAAUCCAUAUAGAAAGGUACAGGAAAAUUUCCAAACAAUUGGAAACAUAACAACACAGUUCUAAAUAAUCCAUGGGUCAAAGAGGAAGUCUCAAAGGAAAUAAAAAAAUAUAUUAAACUGAACGAAAAUGAGAACACAUCAUAUCAAAAAUUAUGGGACAUAAAGCAGUUCUGAGAGGGAAAGUUAUAGCACUAAAUGCAUACCUUAGAAAAGAGGGCCAAGUGCGGUGGUUCGCACCUGUAAUCCAAGUACUUUGGGAGACUGAGGCAGGUGAAUUGCUUGAGCUCAGGAUUCAAGACUAGCCUGGGCAACAGGGAGAAACCUGUCUUUGUCACACACACAUGCACAAAUUAUAUAUAUAUGGAAUAUAUAUAUAUGGAAUAUAUAUAUAUGGAAUAUAUAUAUAUGGAAUAUAUAUAUAUGGAAUAUAUAUAUAUGGAAUAUAUAUAUAUGGAAUAUAUAUAUAUGGAAUAUAUAUAUAUGGAAUAUAUAUAUAUGGAAUAUAUAUAUAUGGAAUAUAUAUAUAUGGAAUAUAUAUAUAUGGAAUAUAUAUAUAUGGAAUAUAUAUAUAUGGAAUAUAUAUAUAUGGAAUAUAUAUAUAUGGAAUAUAUAUAUAUAUGGAAUAUAUAUAUAUAUGGAAUAUAUAUAUAUAUGGAAUAUAUAUAUAUGGAAUAUAUAUAUAUAUGGAAUAUAUAUAUAUGGAAUAUAUAUAUAUAUGGAAUAUAUAUAUAUGGAAUAUAUAUAUAUAUGGAAUAUAUAUAUAUGGAAUAUAUAUAUAUAUGGAAUAUAUAUAUAUGGAAUAUAUAUAUAUAUGGAAUAUAUAUAUAUGGAAUAUAUAUAUAUAUGGAAUAUAUAUAUGGAAUAUAUAUAUAUGGAAUAUAUAUAUGGAAUAUAUAUAUGGAAUAUAUAUAUAUGGAAUAUAUAUAUAUAUGGAAUAUAUAUAUAUGGAAUAUAUAUGGAAUAUAUAUAUGGAAUAUAUAUAUAUAUAUAUAUGGAACUGUCUCAAAUAAUCUUAGCUCACACCUCAAGAGCUUAGAAAAUGAAGACUAAAAUAGACCCAAAGCAAGCAGAACUAAGGAAGUAAUAAAAAUAAGAAAAGAAAUUGAUGACAUUGAAAACAAAAACCCAAUGGAGAAAAAUCAAUGAAACAAAGAGUUAUUUUUAAAGAUCAAUAAAAUUGACACCAAACCUUAAGAAAGUCUGACAAAAAUAAAAAGGGGAGAAGGCACAGAUUACCAAUACCAGGAAUUAAACAAGGACUAUUAUUACAGACUCUAUAGACAUCAAACAAAGAAUAAGGUAGUAUUAACCACUCUAUACACACAAAUUUGACAACUAAAAUUAAAUGAAAUAAUUCUUCAAAAUGUAUAAACUUCCACAACUCCUCCAAUAUUAAAGUAAUUUAAAUAGUCCUAUAACUAUUAGGAAAAUUGAAUUAACAACUAAAAAUUCCCCAAAAGAAAAUCUUCAGCUCAGAUGGUUUCACUGGAGGAUUCUACAAAAUGUUUGAGGACCUAACACCAAUUCUACACUUAUCUUUUCCAGAAAACAGAGGAGGAAGGAAUAUGUCUCAGUUCAUAUUAUGAAGCUAGUAUUACCCUAAUACCAAAACCAGACAAAAACACUACAAAAAAAACAUUAAAGACCCAUAUCUCUCAUGAAUAUAGACACAAACAUUCUUAAUGGAAAUAUUAGCAGAGAAUACAACAAAAUAUAAAAAGAAUUAUAUACCAAGAGAAAUAAAGAGAAAACUACUAAAAGUAAUGAAAGAAAUGAGAGACGCUCUAAAUAAAUGAAGAGACAUACUCAACAUAGUAAAAUGUCAAUUCUCCCCAAAAUGAUACACAGGUUUAACAAAAUUCCCACCAAAAUUAAAAUAAGAUUUUCUGUAGAUAUAGACAAGAUGAUUAUAAAAUUUAUACAGAAAGAUAAAA